rnacentral:rRNA from 1 species
UGUGUAGGCGGUUGCUUAAGUUUGGUGUGAAAUCUCCCGGCUCAACUGGGAGGGUGCGCCGAAUACUGAGUGACUCGAGUGCGGGAGAGGAGAGUGGAAUUCCUGGUGUAGCGGUGAAAUGCGUAGAUAUCAGGAGGAACACCGGUGGUGUAGACGGCUCUCUGGACCGUAACUGACGCUGAGACACGAAAGCGUGGGUAGCAAACAGGAUUAGAUACCCUGGUAGUCCACGCCCUAAACGAUGCAUAUUUGGUGUGGGCAGUUCAGUCUGUCCGUGCCGGAGCUAACGCGUUAAAUAUGCCGCCUGGGGAGUACAGUCGCAAGGCUAGAA